rnacentral:rRNA from 1 species
CACGUAGGGGGCAAGCGUUGUCCGGAUUUAUUGGGCGUAAAGAGCUCGUAGGUGGUUCGGUAAGUCAGGUGUGAAACCUCCAGGCUCAACCUGGAGACGCCACUUGAUACUGCUGUGACUGGAGUCCGGUAGGGGAGCGUGGAAUUCCUGGUGUAGCGGUGAAAUGCGCAGAUAUCAGGAGGAACACCAGCGGCGAAGGCGGCGCUCUGGACGAGUACUGACGCUGAGAUGCGAAAGCGUGGGGAGCAAACAGG